GACGAACGCUGGCGGCGUGCCUAAUACAUGCAAGUCGAACGCUGAAGGAGGAGCUUGCUCUUCUGGAUGAGUUGCGAACGGGUGAGUAACGCGUAGGUAACCUGCCUGGUAGCGGGGGAUAACUAUUGGAAACGAUAGCUAAUACCGCAUAACAGUAGAUGUUGCAUGACAUUUGCUUAAAAGGUGCAAUUGCACCACUACCAGAUGGACCUGCGUUGUAUUAGCUAGUUGGUGGGGUAACGGCUCACCAAGGCGACGAUACAUAGCCGACCUGAGAGGGUGAUCGGCCACACUGGGACUGAGACACGGCCCAGACUCCUACGGGAGGCAGCAGUAGGGAAUCUUCGGCAAUGGACGGAAGUCUGACCGAGCAACGCCGCGUGAGUGAAGAAGGUUUUCGGAUCGUAAAGCUCUGUUGUAAGAGAAGAACGAGUGUGAGAGUGGAAAGUUCACACUGUGACGGUAUCUUACCAGAAAGGGACGGCUAACUACGUG
rnacentral:rRNA from 1 species